GGAGAGGGGUGCGUCCUAUCAGGUUGUUGGUGAGGUAAAGGCUCACCAAGCCUAUGACGGGUAGCCGGUUUGAGAUGAUGAUCGGCCGCGAUGGGACUGAGACACGGCCCAUACUCCUACGGGAGGCAGCAGUGGGGAAUAUUGCACAAUGGACGAAAGUCUGAUGCAGCGAUUCUGCGUGGAGGAUGAAGCAUUACGGUGUGUAAACUCCUUUUUUGGUAGAAGACGAAUGACGGUAUACCAAGAAUAAGGGACGGCUAACUAUGUGCCAGCAGCCGCGGUAAUACAUAGGUCCCAAGCGUUAUCCGGAUUUACUGGGCGUAAAGUGUCCGUAGCCGGACAUAUAAGUCUGUUUUCAAAUCCUAUGGCUCAACCAUAGACCGGGAAUAGAUACUGUAUGUCUGGAAGUUAUUGGGGGUUAGUGGAAUUUCAGGUGGAGCGGUGGAAUGCGUUGAUAUCUGAAAGAACGCCGAAAGCGAAAGCAGCUAACUACAAUAAACUUGACGGUAAGGGACGAAAGCUUGGGGAGCGAACGGGAUUAGAUACCCCGGUAGUCCAAGCCGUAAAUGAUGCGUGCUAGAUGUUUUGGACCCUCGUGGUCUGGAGUGUCGUAAUCUAACGAGUUAAGCAUGCCGUCUGGGUAGUAUAUUCGCAAGAAUGAAACUCAAAGGGAUAGGCGGGGGAACACACAAGCAGUGGAUUGUCUAGAUUAAUUGGAUAAUAAGCCAAGAAUCUUACCUAGAUUUGACAUGUACUAUGUCCUAUGUGAAAGCAUAGUAGUCCGAGCAAUCGGACAUGGUAUACAGGUGGUGCAUGGUCGUCGUCAGCUCGUGCCGCAAGGUGUCUAGUUAAGUCUGGAAACGAGCGCAACCCUCAUCUUUAGUUA
rnacentral:rRNA from 1 species